AGAGUUUGAUCCUGGCUCAGGAUGAACGCUAGCGGCAGGCUUAACACAUGCAAGUCGAGGGGUAACGAUGUUUUCGGACAGGCGACGACCGGCGCACGGGUGAGUAACGCGUAUGCAACCUACCUUUAACAGGGAGAUAGCCCGAAGAAAUUCGGAUUAAUAUCCCAUAACACCAUAGUGUCUCAUGGCACCAUGGUUAAAGCUCCGGCGGUUAAAGAUGGGCAUGCGUGACAUUAGAUUGUUGGUGAGGUAACGGCUCACCAAGUCUACGAUGUCUAGGGGGUCUGAGAGGAUGGUCCCCCACACUGGUACUGAGACACGGACCAGACUCCUACGGGAGGCAGCAGUGAGGAAUAUUGGUCAAUGGGCGCAAGCCUGAACCAGCCAUGCCGCGUGUAGGAUGACUGCCCUAUGGGUUGUAAACUACUUUUAUAUGGGAAGAAACCUCCGGACGUGUUCGGAGCUGACGGUACCAUAGGAAUAAGCAUCGGCUAACUCCGUGCCAGCAGCCGCGGUAAUACGGAGGAUGCAGGCGUUAUCCGGAUUUAUUGGGUUUAAAGGGUGCGCAGGCGGAUUGAUAAGUCAGUGGUGAAAUCCUACAGCUCAACUGUAGAACUGCCAUUGAUACUGUUAAUCUUGAGUUUGGUUGAGGUAGGCGGAAUGUGUCAUGUAGCGGUGAAAUGCUUAGAUAUGACACAGAACACCGAUUGCGAAGGCAGCUUACUAAACCAAUACUGACGCUGAGGCACGAAAGCGUGGGGAGCGAACAGGAUUAGAUACCCUGGUAGUCCACGCCGUAAACGAUGAAUACUCGCUGUUAGCAAUACACAGUUAGCGGCUAAGCGAAAGCAUUAAGUAUUCCACCUGGGGAGUACGAUCGCAAGAUUGAAACUCAAAGGAAUUGACGGGGGCCCGCACAAGCGGAGGAACAUGUGGUUUAAUUCGAUGAUACGCAAGGAACCUUACCUGGGCUUAAAUGUAGUUUGAUUUUAUUGGAAACGAUAUUUCCCUUCGGGGCAAAUUACAAGGUGCUGCAUGGUUGUCGUCAGCUCGUGCCGUGAGGUGUCGGGUUAAGUCCCAUAACGAGCGCAACCCUUAUCCUUAGUUGCCAGCGGGUAAUGCCGGGGACUCUAAGGAGACUGCCAGUGUAAACUGUGAGGAAGGUGGGGAUGACGUCAAAUCAGCACGGCCCUUAUGUCCAGGGCUACACACGUGUUACAAUGGCCGAUACAAAGGGCAGCUACCUGGUGACAGGAUGCUAAUCUCUAAAGUCGGUCUCAGUUCGGAUCGAAGUCUGCAACUCGACUUCGUGAAGUUGGAUUCGCUAGUAAUCGUAUAUCAGCAAUGAUACGGUGAAUACGUUCCCGGGCCUUGUACACACCGCCCGUCAAACCAUGGAAGCUGGGGGUACCUGAAGUUCGUAACCGUAAGGAGCGGCCUAGGGUAAAUCUGGUGACUGGGGUUAAGUCGUAACAAGGUA
rnacentral:rRNA from 1 species